UUAAACUUUGAUGGAGGUAUGUAUCGUGAUCCAUGCUGCACCCAGUGUUUUCACUUUUAAAAUGAGAUCUAAUGCAUGUUAGGCUGUAACCCGUAUUGUUUGAUCAGCAUUAUCGAUGUUGACACGUUAUGUGAUAGUGUUACAGAGUUGUGUCUUGUAUUUAUAAUUUUAUGGACAUUUACAACAUUUUCACGUUGCGUUAUGCUGAAGGAUAGCUAACGUUCGCCUUGUACUUUGCUAAUGAGGCUAGUCACCUCGUGAAGUGUAAGUGUAUUUUUAUUUUAUGUUUCACGGCACUCAGACUGCAUGGUGGGUUUACAGUUGUGCUGAAGUUCACACAGUGUUGUGUAUGUAUUCGCAGAUUGCCUAUUUGGGAUUGAAAGGUGGCUGUGAUGUGAAAGAGUGUGUGGAGGAUCAUGGCACACAUGACCUUUCAAAGACCAUGAACUGGAGGGGAAUGCCAACUGCAGCUGCCAACUGCAGCUCAAAGGGAUAGUUCAUUCUGCAGUGUGGAGAAACCGACUCACGUCCAGUGCAACUAACAAAGAAGUGGGGGGAAAAGCGGUGUUUGUUUUUGUUUUUUGUUUUUGUUUUUCCCUUGGUUUGUGUGACCAACUUGCACCAAAUUUCCUGAAGAUGUUCAGGAAGAUGAACGCUGCUUCAGGUAAGUUACUCAACCUAAUGAUGAAUAUAAAAAAACAUGGCAUUUAUAUGAUGAAUACAGAUUAUUGUCCUAAAUACUGAAAUUGUCCUUCAACUGCUGUAAUUUGAUUUCCUAACUUUUGAAUCAGAUUGUUACUUGGUCCUGUCCGGACCAACCAAAUGUGGGGCUGUAGCUCAAGAAGAGUCACAUUGUAGUUUUAUCAUUGUCAAAUCAAA